rnacentral:rRNA from 1 species
GACAGAGGGUGCAAACGUUGUUCGGAAUUACUGGGCGUAAAGCGUGUGUAGGCGGCCGCGAAAGUCGGAUGUGAAAGCCCCGGGCUCAACUCGGGAAGUGCACCCGAUACUGCGUGGCUCGAGUACCGGAGAGGUUGGUAGAAUUCUCGGUGUAGAGGUGAAAUUCGUAGAUAUCGAGAGGAAUACCUGUGGCGAAGGCGGCCAACUGGACGAGUACUGACGCUGAGACACGAAAGCGUGGGGAGCAAAC